CAGAGUUUGAAGUCUGUGACACUGAAAAGUGUUUAAUACAAUCUGAUGUAUUACAACACAUCAUUUUAAGGAAAGCUGUAAAGAAUGUUAUGGCUACUUAAAAAUACUUGGUAGGCAAAAUGUGCAAGUUACAGGGCUUGCUAUAGCUUCACUUAGUAUACUGUCUCUUCUACCAUCAACACAGACUAUUAACUCUCUGAGCAAUUUAAUUUGAGCACAGUUUACUACAUAUGGAUGUUCCACAAAAAAUAAUCUGGAAAUUGAAGACACUGUACAGGAAUAUUUAGGUUAGAUUUUAGGAAAUAACUUUAAAGAGCAAGGCUAUGAGUGUUUCAUCUUGCACCAUUAAUAUCUUUGGGGAUUUAAACAGUGACUUGAAUUAAAAAUUAAGAUGUAGACCUUCAGGCAAACCAAGGAAGUAGUUAAUAUGUGAAAUUCACUUUCAUCAAAGGUAUUUUUAAAGUGCUCUGUGUGAGAGAAUAUCAGAGAGGAUUAUGAUGGGAAAUCCUUUUUUUUCUGUAAGGGUCUAUGCUAAAUGACCUCAAAGGCUUUAAACUGACUUUCAUCUAAUAUUUUAGGAGUCUCAAAAACAGGCAUUCUGGAGAGCAAGCAGAUCAGUUACUCGUGGUGUGCCAUAUGUUAUACUUAUGACAAGAUGUUGAAGCUGCCUCUUUCUAGAUGCUUCACAGUUGAAGGAAACUUCCUUUCAAAACUUCACUGUAAUUAAUGAAGACCAAAAAUAAAGCCAAUGACAUACGAAAUUCCAUGUGGUUGAAAAACUACUUGUCUAUACAUCUUAUGAGGCAGACCACUUCCCUCCAUUACAUUGUACCAUGGUGUCUGACAGCUCUUUUAUUCAAAAGUAGGAGGCUGAAUUUAUAAGGUUCUUCAACUUCUUGAGAGCAUCUGUCACAUCCCACAUGGGGAAUGAAAUUUGCAAAUCCCUUCAGAUUAAAGUGAAAUGCUACGCAAUGUCAUUUCCUCCUUUUCAAGAAGAGAACAUCAACUUCAAUAGGAUAUUUCUUCAAAACUGUUAUCCUAUAUGCUUUGGUCCUCUCACAAUUAUAUCUACAUAAGCUGUGCAAUUUUAUAAGGAAUUCAGGAGAGAAGAGAAGAGAAGAGAAGAGAAGAGA
ensembl:lncRNA